rnacentral:rRNA from 1 species
UACGUAGGGUGCGAGCGUUGUCCGGAAUUAUUGGGCGUAAAGAGCUCGUAGGCGGCUUGUCGCGUCGGAUGUGAAAGCCCGGGGCUUAACCCCGGGUCUGCAUUCGAUACGGGCAGGCUAGAGUUCGGUAGGGGAGAUCGGAAUUCCUGGUGUAGCGGUGAAAUGCGCAGAUAUCAGGAGGAACACCGGUGGCGAAGGCGGAUCUCUGGGCCAUUACUGACGCUGAGGAGCGAAAGCGUGGGGAGCGAACAGG